rnacentral:rRNA from 1 species
UACGGAGGGUGCAAGCGUUAAUCGGAAUUACUGGGCGUAAAGCGUGCGCAGGCGGUUUGUUAAGUCCGUUGUGAAAGCCCCGAGCUCAACUUGGGAAUUGCAGUGGAUACUGGCAGGCUGGAGUACGGUAGAGGAAGGUGGAAUUCCCGGUGUAGCAGUGAAAUGCGUAGAUAUCGGGAGGAACACCAGUGGCGAAGGCGGCCUUCUGGACCAGUACUGACGCUCAUGCACGAAGCGUGGGGAGCAAACAGG